UCCUCGGUAGCUCAGUUGGUAGAGCAAACGACUGUUAAUCGUUAGGUCGCAGGUUCGAGUCCUGCCCGGGGAGCCA
rnacentral:tRNA from 1 species